ACGCUGGCGGCAGGCCUAACACAUGCAAGUCGAGCGGAAACGAGUUAACUGAACCUUCGGGGGACGUUAACGGCGUCGAGCGGCGGACGGGUGAGUAAUGCCUAGGAAAUUGCCCUGAUGUGGGGGAUAACCAUUGGAAACGAUGGCUAAUACCGCAUGAUGCCUACGGGCCAAAGAGGGGGACCUUCGGGCCUCUCGCGUCAGGAUAUGCCUAGGUGGGAUUAGCUAGUUGGUGAGGUAAGGGCUCACCAAGGCGACGAUCCCUAGCUGGUCUGAGAGGAUGAUCAGCCGGGUGAAGUCGUAACAAGGAA
rnacentral:rRNA from 1 species